AGGGGAUUAGUUUAAUGGUAGAACCAAGGACUCCAAACCCUUUAGUGCGGGUUCGAAUCCUGCAUCCCCUG
rnacentral:tRNA from 1 species